AUUGAACGCUGGCGGCGUGCCUAACACAUGCAAGUCGAGCGGUAACAGGUGUAGCAAUACAUGCUGACGAGCGGCGAACGGGUGAGUAAUGCUUCGGAAUCUACCCAAUGGUGGGGAAUAACCAGCCGAAAGGUUGGCUAAUACCGCAUACGUCCUACGGGAGAAAGCAGGGGAUCGUAAGACCUUGCGCCAAUGGAUGAGCCGAAGUCGGAUUAGCUAGUUGGAGGGUAACGGCCUACCAAGGCGACGAUCCGUAGCUGGUCUGAGAGGACGACCAGCCACACUGGGACUGAGACACGGCCCAGACUCCUACGGGAGGCAGCAGUGGGGAAUAUUGGACAAUGGGGGAAACCCUGAUCCAGCGACGCCGCGUGUGUGAAG
rnacentral:rRNA from 1 species